rnacentral:rRNA from 1 species
UGGGGAAUAUUGCACAAUGGGCGCAAGCCUGAUGCAGCCAUGCCGCGUGUAUGAAGAAGGCCUUCGGGUUGUAAAGUACUUUCAGCGGGGAGGAAGGGAGUAAAGUUAAUACCUUUGCUCAUUGACGUUACCCGCAGAAGAACCACCGGCUAACUCCGUGCCAGCAGCCGCGGUAAUACGGAGGGUGCAAGCGUUAAUCGGAAUUACUGGGCGUAAAGCGCACGCAGGCGGUCUGUCAAGUCGGAUGUGAAAUCCCCGGGCUUAACCCGGGAAUUGCAUCUGAUACUGGUCAGCUAGAGUCUUGUAGAGGGGGGUAGAAUUCCAUGUGUAGCGGUGAAAUGCGUAGAGAUGUGGAGGAAUACCGGUGGCGAAGGCGGCCCCCUGGACAAAGACUGACGCUCAGGUGCGAAAGCGUGGGGAGCAAACAGG